GAGUAGUAUUUUAUAAAAUAAAAAAGGCCCUCAAUCACCUGGAGCAUAGACAUCGUCCCCCUUUUAUCAAUUAUAAUCAAAUCAUCGCCUCCACCAAUUAAUUCCGAUCACCGCCUCCUCCAAUUUAUAAUCAAAGUUUUUUAAUUUUAUUAAUACUCUAUUCACCUAGGUUUUCUUCAUCGUAACCGCCAUUCACGGUUGAUUGCCGUCAAUUGUAGCUGAUCGUCACUAUUACUCCAAUCGCCGCCAAUCGUUGCUGAUCGCCGUGGUUACUCCAAUCGCCGCCAAUCGUUGUUACUCCCAUCGCCAUUGUACUUUCCUUUUCCGUCACUCCGAUUGCCGUUGCUGCAAUUUUUUCUCUGAGCUUCGACUCUUCAGGCCUGCUUUUUCUGACUUAUAUGGGGCACGUAUGUCCACAACACCACAGACAUCUUCUCAUGCAUUAUAUCAUGAUCAUGCAUGAGUUUUGUUCUAAAGAUGCAAGACAACAUCCGCAUAAGGGCACUCAAGUGUGUAGUGAAUUAGAAGAUUUGGGCUUCCUUUGUAUAACAGUGCUACUACUAGAAUGCUUUGUAUAACAGUGCUACUACUCAAGUGAGAACAUGACAAAAGGUAGUGUUAGUGGAUCUUCAAGGAUUAUAAGGAAUGGUAUUAGUAGUUGCUUUUUAAAAUGAAAGUAUGGAAUUGUUUCUAAAAUCUUGUAAGAUAGUUGUAAAAGAUGUUAAAUGAAUGUAUGGAAUUGUUUCUAAAA